rnacentral:rRNA from 1 species
GGCUCUAGGCCUGCUGUGAUUUGAAUUUAUAUAUAAAGUUAUUACCUAAAGGAAGAACUGUUUAGUAGAUAAUAUUAAUAAUAUCAUAUAGAUUGAUUAGUUAAGAUCUUGAAAGUCGACUAAAAAUCGUGCCAGCCGUCGCGGUUAGACGAAAGACUUAAGUAGGUAGACUAGUUAAAAGUAGUUUACAAUUUUUUGGGCUACGGAGUACUAAGCUUAAGAUUCUAAGUAAAAUUUAAACUCUUUGAGUCAGAUUUCUCUGUAACCAGAUGUUGAAUCUACUAAACUCAUGAUCUAAACCAGGAUUAGAUACCCUGUUAUUAUGAGUUAUAAUCGAUCUAGGGUAGUAAAAGCUUAUUCUUCAAACCCAAAGGUUUUGGCGGCUUUUUAUCCUACCAGAGGAGUUUGUCCCGUAAUUGAUAAUCCCCACUUUACCUUACUCGCUCUUGUUUAGCUUGUAUACCUCCGUUGACAGGUUACUUCAUAAGAAAGUUUCCAAUAAAGACAACUCUAAUACUUCAGGUCAAGGUGCAGCCCAUGAGCGAGAGGAGAUGAACUACAAUUCUCUAGAAGAAAUACGGAUGGGGAGCUAAAAUAACCCUGAAGGUGGAUUUGUCAGUAAUAGUGCUUUAAGAAUAACACUAUGAACUAGGCAAUAAAACGUGUACAUAUCGCCCGUCACUCUCUUUUUAAAAA